rnacentral:tRNA from 1 species
GCCUUCGUGGCGUAAUUGGAAGGCACGUUCGACUACUAAUCGGAAGAUCCAGAGUUCCAGUUUCUGCAAGAGCA